CCUACGGGAGGCUGCAGUGAGGAAUAUUGGUCAAUGGACGAGAGUCUGAACCAGCCAAGUAGCGUGAAUGAUGACUGCCCUAUGGGUUGUAAACUUCUUUUAUAUGGGAAUAAAACGUUCCACGUGUGGGAUUUUGUAUGUACCAUAUGAAUAAGGAUCGGCUAACUCCGUGCCAGCAGCCGCGGUAAUACGGAGGAUCCGAGCGUUAUCCGGAUUUUUUGGGUUUAAAGGGAGCGUAGGUGGAUUGUUAAGUCAGUUGUGAAAGUUUGCGGCUCAACCGUAAAAUUGCAGUUGAAACUGGCAGUCUUGAGUACAGUAGAGGUGGGCGGAAUUCGUGGUGUAGCGGUGAAAUGCUUAGAUAUCACGAAGAACUCCGAUUGCGAAGGCAGCUCACUGGACUGCAACUGACACUGAGGCUCGAAAGUGUGGGUAUCAAACAGGAUUAGAUACCCUGGUAGUC
rnacentral:rRNA from 1 species